rnacentral:rRNA from 1 species
GUGAACGCUGGCGGUGGGCCUAACACAUGCAAGUCGCAUGGCAGCACAGUAAGAGCUUGCUCUUACGGGUGGCGAGUGGCGGACGGGUGAGGAAUACAUCGGAAUCUACUUUUUCGUGGGGGAUAACGUAGGGAAACUUACGCUAAUACCGCAUACGACCUACGGGUGAAAGCAGGGGAUCUUCGGACCUUGCGCGAUUGAAUGAGCCGAUGUCGGAUUAGCUAGUUGGCGGGGUAAAGGCCCACCAAGGCGACGAUCCGUAGCUGGUCUGAGAGGAUGAUCAGCCACACUGGAACUGAGACACGGUCCAGACUCCUACGGGAGGCAGCAGUGGGGAAUAUUGGACAAUGGGCGCAAGCCUGAUCCAGCCAUACCGCGUGGGUGAAGAAGGCCUUCGGGUUGUAAAGCCCUUUUGUUGGGAAAGAAAAGCAGCAGGUUAAUACCCCGCUGUUCUGACGGUACCCAAAGAAUAAGCACCGGCUAACUUCGUG